UGGUCAGUUCCCAUUUAUCAUAUAUAAUUGAAGUUGAUUAGCAUGACAUCAGUGUGCCCCUUUUAAUCCCAUUCCAUACAUCCUCCGAUUCAUGCUUUUCUUGAGCAUAAAUGUGACGCCUCCAAAAUAGGUAUACAUCACCCAUCUUGGGUCGCCAGAUACAUGGUAUAAAAUACAAAUACAAACUAAUUAUACAAUAGUCGUGUAAAAUACGACAAAACAUAAAUUGAGAGUUUUAAUAAGAAUAUUGUCAUCUAGACAAUAUCCACACUCAAAGGAGUCCUCAAUACAUUUAUUGUCACAUUAUUU
rnacentral:lncRNA from 1 species